rnacentral:tRNA from 1 species
UCGGGAUAGCUCAGCUGGUAGAGCAAGAGGACUGA